rnacentral:misc_RNA from 1 species
UUCUGGAGAGAAGGUUGAGAAAAACGUAUUUGCAGUCUUCUUUUCUGGUGAAAGAGCAAAGAGCAAAAUUCUCAAAAUAUGUGAAGCUUUUGGAGCAAAUCGUUAUUCUGUCCCCGAGGACCUUGGUAAACAGGCCCAGAUGAUCACUGAGGUCUCUGGAAGAAUCUCAGAGCUAAAGACGACCAUAGAUGCUGGCUUGGUGCACCGGGGAAAUUUAUUACGAACUAUUGGUGAACACUAUGAUAGAUGGAAUAUUUUGGCGAGGAAAGAGAAAUCAAUUUAUCACACUCUCAACAUGCUUAGCAUUGAUGUGACCAAAAAAUGUCUGGUGGCUGAAGGUUGGAGUCCUGUUUUUGCAACCAAACAGAUCCAGGAUGCGCUGCAACGGGCAACACAUGACUCAAAUUCAGAAGUUGGUGCAAUCUUCCGGGUUCUGCGAACCCGAGAAAUGCCGCCUACAUAUUUUCAAACAAAUAAAUUUACUUCUUCUUUUCAGGAUAUUGUCGAUGCAUACGGGGUGGCUAAAUAUCAGGAAGCAAAUCCUGGUGUUUACACUAUCGUCACAUUUCCAUUCCUUUUCGCAGUUAUGUUUGGUGACUGGGGUCAUGGUAUCUGUCUGUUGCUUGCUACCAUGUUCUUCUUAUUCAAUGAGAAGAAAUUCUCCAGUCAGAAACUUGGAGACAUCAUGGAA